rnacentral:misc_RNA from 1 species
UGCUGUUUCUCACGAUUCUGCCCAGCCAUUUAUCACGCGCACGCUGACAUCUUGCACUUAGUCAUCAAGAGCUACAGUACGACGAGUACAUACUAGAGCCAACCACUCCUGAAGUGCUUCCAUGAGUUCAGUUGAGUGCUGAACCAACUCUCGACACUCUCGACAGCCUGUGAAAAGGAAUGAGUGUGUGGAAAGGGAUUCAAUACUGGAGAAGAGAGGGGAGAGAUCGAGAGGGUGAUGUUACAUCCCCAAGCGUCGUAGUCUCGCGUUGAUGACUGGAACGGACUGUUGAACGACGAUCAACAUGGUGUGCAAGCUGAUGGACAGUUGGGCCAAUGGUUCAGAAGCGUUAGUUGAGCUUCUAACGACCUACUACUCGCCUGUCAAGUGAGGUGUGUACUUGUUCAUACUCCUACUCGUCUCACUGGCGUCUAGGGUUGUGAGCACCGUCGCUUAUGAAAGACGCCGUCGCCUAUGAAAGACACCGUCGCUCAUUGAAGACUAGAUCCAUAAUAUAAACAAAAGAGUAUUUCUCUGAAUGGCGACGGAUUGGCCAGCCCCAUCGUUACACAAUUUGUCCAAAAACACCAUCUCUGCCGUCCAUCGAUAUCUUUCGAAAUCAUCCGGACCAGACAGUAGAGCUUUGAGAACCCCGAAGGAGGAAUAC